rnacentral:lncRNA from 1 species
UCGCAAACGACUCCAUUCCUCGAGGAAGUACUUCAAACGCCCCCAAGUGUUUUGAUCUUCGACUUCAUCGCAAGUCUUUCUUUUGGUCUUUCAGUUCGGCACUAUCAUCUCCUGUCAAUAAUAUCAUCCACAUAAACAUCAAAAUCGCAAUUUUACCUUAUGUCGAGUGUUUUUAAAACUGGUAUGAUCUGCUUGACUUUGACCAUAUCCGUGACUCCUUACGCUUGCCAAAGCGUUCAAUACCACGCCCUUUGGGACUGUUUGAGACCGUAUAGGCGUUAAAUGACUUUUCUUAAGCUGUCCGACUUUAUCUAUAUCUACACCAAGUCUUUCUUCGACCCCAGUGGAAAACUCCAUAAAAACUUCAUCUUCUCUCCCGUUAGGAACGCAUUUUUUACAAUCCAUUGGUGUAAGGCCCAUUGGAUUUAACGGCAAGGGACAAUACUAACCGAAUUGAGUUUUAUUUGGCUAACGGGGUGAACGUUCUGGUAGUCCAUUACAUAUGUUUGUAUAAAACAUUUUGCAACAAGUCUUGCCUUAUACCUCUCUAUAUUGCCAUCAGCCUCGCAUUUCACCGUGAAAACCCAUUUGCACACUACAAUUUUCUUGUCUCUCGGUAAGUCAACUAUCCCCCAUGUGCCAUUUUUCCCAAGAGCGUUCAUUUCCUCAAGUACUGCCAAUUUCUAAUUCGGAUCAUCUAGUGCUUCCUGAAUAUUUCUUGGUACAAGUUGAGAAAUAUUUGAAGUAAAUGCUCUAUGAUUUAUUGGAGAGUUUUUGUAAGAAAUAUAUUUCCAAUAGAAUUUCGUGGCACGUUCUGGUUCCUGUUCUUAUGGCAAUUGGAAUAUCCAAUCUGAUAUUUGUUAUUUUUUUGGAGAUAGUAAUAUGGUCUGAAUUCGAAAUGGUGCAAAAGAUAAAUAGGAAUGGAAUUGUAAAAUAUGUAUAGGAGAAAUAGUUUACCUAAAAUAUUCAAGAGCCGUUAUUCAAGGAUUCUAAUUGAUUCUGCACUGGGAUGAUAGGAAGGUCUUUAUUUCUUUCAGGGAUCCUCUUUGUAGUAUAAACCAGAAGCUCAGAAUUCGGAUUAAACUUAUCCUUUUGUAGUAUUUCCUUCUCGGUUGGUAAAAAAUCGAUUCUGCCGAUAUCAGCAUCUUGAAUGUUAUUUUUUUUCCUAAAAAAACUUAGUGAUUUGUGGAGAGGAUUCGGUAAGAAAAGUCAAUAAUUGUAUUGGGUAAAUGUGCAGAUUUUUUCUAAAAAUUAUUUUCUUCACUUAUUUUCUCCCCCCCCCCCCCUAGGAAGGACAAUUUUUGGUAACGAAAUGGAGUAUGUUCCCAAAAAGAGACAUUCAUAGUAAUAUGGAAUUGUUUGUUUGAGGGUUAAAACAUUUAUAUACCCUUUUUGGUUAGAAAAACAUAUCCUAAAAGACCUAUUUUUCAACUCUCGUAUUAAUUUAGACCGAUAUUUGUUCAGGUAUGCGGACAAAAACUAUGCAACCAAAAUUUUAAAGUAAGUAUGAAUUAAUUCGAGGAUUCCUAUAAAUUCCUUUUUGUAAGCAAUCUAAUGUAGUGAUAUACUGUAAAACUCAUGUAGCAUCCUGUCCGGUGAUCACUUGAUGCAUUCAAUAGCAAUCUCCCCAUAAUAUUUUGGAAUAUUCAUAUAAAAAAUUAUAGCAGCAAGCACGGGCCCCCUACUUCAAGUAAAUGUUUAUUUUGUCUUUCGUCUAGUUCAUUUUGUUGAGGGGUAUCACGACAUGAAGUUGAUGGGCAUUUUUCUUGUAAAAAAGUUUUCAAAACUUUAAUUAAAAUACUCCUGUUGGCAUUGUUUAGACCGAAAUAUACUAUUUUUUGUUUGGAAAUUGAUUUUCAAUCAUAUUGUAAAAAUCUUUGAAUAAUUUUUUAACUUCAAGCUUCUCACGCAUUAGAUAAUCCAGCAAAGACGAGUAUGGUCGUCUAUAAUUGUCACAACCACCUUUUUCCUGACAUGUAUAAUCUUUGAAGAUCCCCACUCUCACUAUGAAUCAAUAGAACGGUUUGAUGCAUGAUAGAUUUAGAGGCAGGUAAAUUGUACGAUGACUUUUGGACAAAAAAAACUUUCACUUGAAAAGAUGCAAAGUUCUAAUAUUUUUAAACAAUGAUGUAAACAGAUGUUUUAAGUAGGAAAAACUAGGUGGCCUAAUCGACAUGCCACACCAUUUUUGUUCACGAACAGAGAUAGAACUGAUCUACUACUAAAGUUCUUGAGCUUUUUUAUUACUAGAUAGAUUAUCAUCAAAAUAGUAAAGACCAUUUAUCAAUCCUAGGCCCCUGCAAUCGUCCUCACCGAAUCUGAUCCGGUAAAAUACAAUGAGAUUCAAAGAAGGUGUAACACGACAGCAAUUAAGAAGCAUUCGGGAUAAUUUGCUUACGACAAGAGAUUGCAGGCAGUUUAGGAACAUGAAGAACAAGAUUUUAAAGAUCUAUUAUUUUUGCUAUUUUUAUUCAAGCCUUUACCUGCAAAGAUGAAAAAA